GGUGAACCUGCGGAAGGAUCAUUAAUGAA
rnacentral:rRNA from 1 species